CUCUUCCUCGGCCUGGCUGGCAGUUGCAAUUCUCUAGAGUUUUGUCUAGCUGAAGGUGUUUGGAGACCGGAGAGGGUUCCCUUGGGCCAACCGAUUUAGAGAGAGGAGGAGGCAACGAGAUUUUAACGAAAACAAACCGAAAAAUUUCAUUCGUCCAUCCCGUAAGAGGGACCGGUUUUCAUCCCUUGCUCCUGAAAAAUCUGCAAACGCGGCAACGACGGGACCUUCCGAAAACCGGAUAUUUGAAGGAACGUGCCCGAUCCGAAGAAAGAUCCCCUGAGUGCCGCCGGAAGCCGAUAAGGGUACCCUCCCGAUGGACGGGCUGAGGUCCGUCCUCCUACUUCGACCCGGAAAAAUCAAACUACCCACACGACUUUGUGUCGCCUCGUGGGAGUUCCCUAUGCACCUCGUGCCUCGACGCGCCUCUCUCGUCUUCCACCCGAGAAGAGGAAGCUACAGAAUUAAAAAAAAAAGAUUCACCCCCAAAAUAUUCAUUUGUCCAUCCCAUAAUAGAGACUGAUGUUCAUCUCCAGCUCCUGACCGAUCUGGAAAUGGAGCGACUACGGCACAUUCCGAGAAGCCGAAAAUUGGAGGUUUUCUGGAAGACUCAUUCAAAGGCUACUCAGUAUCUUCAAAACGGGCAGUCCUCUUCACGAUCAACAAAGAGGGAGGGGCACGAAGAGUUUCAAACCGUGAGGAAGGCUUGGAACGGACCAUCGAGCCGAAUCUACGUGACGAUCCUUAAAAUCGAGGAAUCCUUGUUUCCGAUGACAAAAGCAAACGGUUAUUCCUCCUCACCUUCCAUGACAUUUGUCGAGUGCUCCUAGGCUCCGGAUUCCAAAGCGAAGGGAUUCUUCAUAGGAUCAUGGGAGUGAGGAAAGGCUACUGGGUCUCUGGGCUAGCUGAAAAGGAGAUGGAAACACAAAUAAAAAUUGACAAACCA